rnacentral:ribozyme from 1 species
UGCCCAGCAACUCCUAUCCCUACCUCCUCGCGGUACCGGCCGGAAACUAUGAGCAACCUUAGGGAAGAUCUUUUUGAAUUUUUUCGACUGAGAGAG